rnacentral:rRNA from 1 species
AUACCCGCUGAACUUAAGCAUAUCAAUAAGCGGAGGAAAAGAAACCAACAGGGAUUGCCUCAGUAACGGCGAGUGAAGCGGCAAAAGCUCAAAUUUGAAAUCUGGCUCUUUCAGAGUCCGAGUUGUAAUUUGUAGAGGAUGCUUCGGCUUACGUUUCGGUCUAAGUUCCUUGGAACAGGACGUCACAGAGGGUGAGAAUCCCGUUUGUGGCCGAGACUUCCGCCAUGUGAAGCUCCUUCGACGAGUCGAGUUGUUUGGGAAUGCAGCUCUAAAUGGGAGGUAAAUUUCUUCUAAAGCUAAAUACCGGCCAGAGACCGAUAGCGCACAAGUAGAGUGAUCGAAAGAUGAAAAGCACUUUGGAAAGAGAGUUAAAAAGUACGUGAAAUUGUUGAAAGGGAAGCGCUUGCGACCAGACUUGCCCGCGGAUGCUCAACCGGUCCUUCGGCCGGUGCACUCUUCCGCGGUCAGGCCAGCAUCAGUUCGAGCGGUCGGAUAAAGGCCUUGGGAAUGUGGCUCUCUUCGGGGAGUGUUAUAGCCCUUGGUGCAAUACGGCCCGCCUGGACUGAGGCCCGCGCUUCGGCUAGGAUGCUGGCGUAAUGGUCGUAAGCGGCCCGUCUUG